CGUGCUCUUCUCCCGCCUUCACCUGUGACUCCGUCCUCACGUGCUUAGCAACGGCAGCAAAUAUUUCUCACCCACGUGCCAGGCACUGAGGACCUGCUGACAUUCCUGUCAUGAUGAAUUAGAAGCUUUAUGUCGAAUUAGAAGCUCCCUGAAACUCAUCUUGCGGAAGUGGGAAGCCGGAAGGGACCUUAGAGAGAAGGUAAUUCAUGUUAACUUUGGAAAUCUUGGAAAAUAUUGCAAAACAUCCAGAAGAAAAUAAAACUACUGAUAUAAA